rnacentral:rRNA from 1 species
GACGAACCGUGCGAACGUUGUUCGGAAUCACUGGGCUUAAAGGGCGCGUAGGCGGCAGGUCAAGUCCGGGGUGAAAGCCCCCAGCUCAACUGGGGAAGUGCCUUGGAUACUGGCGUGCUCGAGGGAGGUAGGGGCCCGCGGAACUUCUGGUGGAGCGGUGAAAUGCGUUGAUAUCAGAAGGAACGCCGGUGGCGAAAGCGGCGGGCUGGACCUUUUCCGACGCUGAGGCGCGAAAGCCAGGGGAGCAAACGGG